rnacentral:rRNA from 1 species
ACGCACGCUGGCGGCGCGCUUCACACCUGCCAGUCGAACGGAAAGGCCUGCUUUCCCUUGUGGAUUGCGGGUACUCGAGUGGCGAACGGGUGAGUAACACGUGAGUGAUCUGCCCCCAACUUGGGUAUAAGCCUGGGAAACUGGGUCUAAUUCCCGAUAGGACUGCAGGGUGGUGCCUGUGGUGGAAAACGAUUUUCUAGUGGUUGGGGAUGAGCUCGCGGCCUAUCAGCUUGUUGGUGGGGUAAUGGCCUACCAAGGCGGCGACGGGUAGCCGGCCUGAGAGGGUGGACGGCCACAUUGGGACUGAGAUACGGCCCAGACUCCUACGGGAGGCAGCAGUGGGGAAUAUUGCACAAUGGGCGGAAGCCUGAUGCAGCGACGCCGCGUGGGGGAUGACGGCCUUCGGGUUGUAAACUCCUUUCGACCGCGAGGAAGCCACAUGGUUGGAAGGGUGGUGACGGUAGUGGUAGAAGAAGCACCGGCUAACUACGUG